rnacentral:lncRNA from 1 species
AGAGCUCCUGGAAGUAGAUGACUGAGAAAAUGACAUGAGUUCAGUGGCGCACACUCACAUGAGUUAGCUAUGUUCCUUUUCUUUUUUGAAGACAUUGGAAUUGUCCGGUUGGAAUAUUACUGAAGAUUUAUGAUAAAAGCAUCCUAAAGAUUGAUGCUAUACAUCGUUUGACAUGUUUCUACGAACCUUUCAAAACAGCAUCAGACCAAACACUACUCACUCAGUUCCAGGUUGGUGUAACGGCUGUCUUCGUCGUCCUCAGAUGAAGGGGAAGAGAAAUCAGACCAAAAUGCAGCGUGGCUGCCAUGAGCUGGUUGCUGGCGGGCUAAUCCAGGGGCAGGCUGCUGACGGGCUGGUCCUGGGGCUGGCUGAGGGCCAAUCUCAUCCUCUUCCAAUUCACUGUCAGACUCCAAUUUGACAGAGACAUGAUCCUCAUAUUCGGAAAAUUCUUCAUCUUACAAAGUGGAAGACGAUCCUUCCACACUAACUUCUCUCUCUACAAAAAUUAUUUCUAAGUCCCUCUGAGCAGAGAUUAUUUUUGCCAUACUGAUUGAUUGUGGUAAGGAGCCACACAUGCAAAGCUAUUUAUUUGUGUCCCUCCCCCAAUUUGCACCUGGCUGUGUGUGGGAAAAUACAGCAUUUCUUACAAUGUAUUGUAAUAACAUUGUGCAGGUUCCCGCAAGACAUUGUGUAGUUUCACACAGUACAAAGGGUAAAGAGUGCGAGAAAAGCAAGAGACAGGCAGAGAGACAGACAGGAUAUUGGUGCUAUGUUGAAACAACAGGCCCAGGGAGGAGGAAGAAAGAGUGAAGGCACACAGCAAACCUUUUUGCUCAAUUUUGACAUGUUUUCACCUACACACACACUUUUCCACACUUUUAUUACCCUCGGGUCCAGUGGACCCGGACACCACAUAUGUAAUAUAAAUAUGUAGGGAGGUCCGGUGCACCAGAACACCACAUAUGUAAUAUAAAUAUGUAGGGGGGUCCAGUGGACCCGAACACCACAUAUGUAAUAUAAAUAUGUAGGGGGGUCCAGUGGACCAGAACACCAGAUAUGUAAUAUAAAUAUGUAGGGAGGUCCAGUGGACCAGAACACCACAUAUGUAAUAUAAAUAUGUAGGGGGGUCCAGUGGACCAGAACACCAGAUAUGUAAUAUAAAUAUGUAGGGAGGUCCAGUGGACCAGAACACCACAUAUGUAAUAUAAAUAUGUAGGGAGGUGCACAGUGUGCACUCAAUGAAAAUGUGUUAUUUGACAUGUUCUUCACAGAAAAUGAGCCAAGGCCAAUGAGUCUCAGGUUGAAAUAAUGAUUCAUUGUAUCAUUUUUCUUUGAGUAAACAUUGAAAAUGGGUCCCACAUACCCGACCACCACACAAGGGUUAAGAAUUGUACGUUUUUGCACCAACUUGCCAUGUGGCUCCGUUUUUGGAGGAUUGUGGGUAACAUUUUAACCUCUCUAGGGUAUGUGGGACGAAAUCGUCCCACCUACUCAACAGCCAGUGGAAUCCCGUGGCGCGAUAUUCAAAUACCUUAGAAAUGCUAUUACUUCAAUUUCUUAAACAUAUGACUAUUUUACACCAUUUUAAAGACAAGACUUUCGUUAAUCUAACCACACUGUCCGAUUUCAAAAAGGCUUUACAACGAAAGCAAAACAUUAGAUUAUGUCAGCAGAGUACCCAGCCAGAAAUAAUCAGACACCCAUUUUUCAAGCUAGCAUAUAAUGUCACAUAAACCCAAACCACAGCUAAAUGCAGCACUAACCUUUGAUGAUCUUCAUCAGAUGACACUCCUAGGACAUUAUGUUAUACAAUACAUGCAUGUUUUGUUCAAUCAAGUUCAUAUUUAUAUAAAAAACCAGCUUUUUACAUUAGCAUGUGACGUUCAGAACUAGCAUACCCACCGCAAACUUCCAGUGAAUUUACUAAAUUACUCACGAUAAACGUUCACAAAAAACAUAACAAUUAUUUUAAGAAUUAUAGAUACAGAACUCCUUUAUGCAAUCGCUAUGUCCGAUUUUAAAAUAGCUUUUUGGCAAAAGCACAUUUUGCAAUAUCUGAGUAGAUAGCUCGCCAUCACGGGCUAGCUAUUUUGACACCCACCCAGUUUGGCACUCACCAAACUCAGAUUUACUAUAAGAAAAAUUGGAUUACCUUUGCUGUUCUUCGUCAGAAUGCACUCCCAGGACUUCUACUUCAAUAACAAAUGUUGGUUUGGUUCAAAAUAAUCCAUAGUUAUGUUCAAAUAUCCUCUGUUUUGUUCAUGCGUUCAAGACACUAUCCGAAGGGUGACGCGCUCGGCGCGUAUCGUGACCAAAAAAUUCUAAAUAUUCCAUUACCAUACUUCGAAGCAUGUCAAACGCUGUUUAAAAUCAAUUUUUAUUCGAUUUUUCUCGUAAAAAAGCGAUAAUAUUCCGACCGGAAAACCCUGUUUUCGUUCAAAGACUAAAAUCUAAAAUGGACUCUUCACGUGCACGCGCGCCCCCGUCUCAUUGUUCUCAGAUCGACCACUUACCAAAUGCACUACUGUUUUUCAGCCAUGGCCUGCAAAGUCAUCAUUCAACGUUCUGGCGCCCUCUGAGAGCCUAUGGGAGCCGUAGGAAGUGUCACGUUACAGCAGAGAUCCUCAGUUUUCAAUAAAGAGAGUGUAGAAGGCCAAGAAAUGGUCAGAGAGGGCACUUCCUGUUUGGAAUCUUCUCAGGUUUUUUUCCUGCCAUAUGAGUUCUGUUAUACUCACAGACACCAUUCAAACAGUUUUAGAAACUUUAGGGUGUUUUCUAUCCAAAUCAAACUAUAAAUCAAAUUAUAUGCAUAUUCUAGUUUCUGGGCAGUAGUAAUAACCAGAUGAAAUCGGGUACGUUUUUUAUCCGGCCGUGCAAAUACUGCCCCCUACCCUAGAGAGGAAUGAUACCUUUACACAAUGUUGUAUGCAUGUUUGAAGAAAGAAAGUACAUUUCUAUGUUAGUAUGAAGUAGCUUGUUGUGCUAUGAGGUGUAAUGGAUCAGGAUGAACGGAUAUCAGAACUGUCAGGCAAACUGACAUUCACUGAUCUGACCACCCAUUCCCACCAUCAGCUAGUCCACAUGCAUCACCCUUAAUAUCAGAGGCAAAUGCAGCAUCCAACAAGGCUUGCAGCUCUACCUCCACUUACUGCAAGUGGAAUGAGCACUGUGUUCAACAAUGCCUGUUAAAGUGGGUUAAAAUGACUAAUAAUCAGAAACAUAAAAGAACGGUAAACAAAUGUAAAACUGAAAGUAAGAUUAAAGUAGAUCUGACGAAUAAAAACAGUUUUGGAAUUGAUAAAAUGAAGUUGGACAUAAGCCAUUUUUUUAUGCUGGACUUAAUAUAUGAGUGUUUGUGAAACAGCAAAAGUUAAGUAGGUAUACCGUAUAUUAUACAUAAGAAUACCUCAUUUUUGAAAUACUCAAAAAGCUGAUGCAAAUAGUUGUUAUAUUUUAAAAGUAGAACUAGCACAAUAUUUUGUACAAUGUAUGUGCACGUUUUUAUCCAAAUUCGUGUGUACGUUAGCGUGUUGUCACGUCCUGACCAGUAUAAGGUUAAUUGGUAUUGUAGUUUGGUCAGGACGUGGCAGAGGGUAUUCGUUUUAUGUGGUUCGGGGUGGUGUGUUUUGUUGAAGGGGCAUUUGGUUUAAGUAUUCCGGGGUUUUUGGGCACUGUUUGGUUUUCAGGUAUUCUAUGAUUUUGUCUAGUAUGUCUGUUUCUAUGUUUGGUUAAUUGGGGUUGGGACUCUCAGUUGAAGGCAGGUGUUGUCUAUCUGCCUUGGAUUGAGAGUCCCAUAUAUGAGGGUGUGUUUGUUAUUUGUGGGUGAUUGUUCUGUGUUGAGCGUUAUGCUUUGCCAGACUGUUUGUUGUUCGUUAGUUCUUUGUUAUUUUGGUGUUCAUUUUGUAUUUAUUAAAAAGCAAGAUGAUCAUACACAUACCUGCUGCGUUUUGGUCCUCCAUUUCCAACGACAAGUGUGACGCAUGUGAGCUUGCAUGUUCAUGUGUACGAGUGUGUAUAUUUAUUUGUGUGUGUGUGUGUGAGGGGGAGGCAGUAGGUUCAUCCUGU